UUCCUCUCUCUUUGUUCUUGUUUUUCCAGGAGACCAGAGGGAAAUCCAUUAGACCCGAAGAUUACACUAAAGAUGGUAUACAGGCCUCAGAGGACAGCUCCUCGUCUGCUGGAGGCUACAGGAAAAAGAAAAGCGGCGCUAAGGAGGGAAAAUAUGAGGCCGGGAAGGUCUACGAGUGCAGGUUUUGUUCCCUCAAGUUCUGCAAGUCUCAAGCCCUUGGGGGACACAUGAACCGCCACCGUCAAGGCAACCUCUUUUCAUUGCCCUAAUUUCAAUGUUCUACGUUUUUCUUCACAUUAUAAAAUCAAGACAAUUUCCAUCA